UACGAAGGGGGCUAGCGUUGCUCGGAAUCACUGGGCGUAAAGGGUGCGUAGGCGGGUCUUUAAGUCAGGGGUGAAAUCCUGGAGCUCAACUCCAGAACUGCCUUUGAUACUGAAGAUCUUGAGUUCGGGAGAGGUGAGUGGAACUGCGAGUGUAGAGGUGAAAUUCGUAGAUAUUCGCAAGAACACCAGUGGCGAAGGCGGCUCACUGGCCCGAUACCUGACGCUGAGGCACGAAAGCGUGGGGAA
rnacentral:rRNA from 1 species